GGGAUUGUAGCUCAUUGGUAGAGCACUUGCCUUGCACACGUGAGGCCCUGGGUUCAAUCCUCAGCACCA
rnacentral:tRNA from 1 species